UUAGAUCAAGGUUUUGAUGUAUUGAACAAUGUUCCUAAAAAUGACAUGCUCGAAAUUUGUGCUUGUUUGCUUGUUUUGUUUGGCCUUAGAUUUGGCUCUUGGUUCCGAUGCAGCAAGUGAUAACAAACCUGGACCGCUCAGCUCGAGUUUAGGCCUAGAAGUACGCAGAUCUUCUG